GGGCCCGCACAAGCGGUGGAGCAUGUGGUUUAAUUCGAUGCAACGCGAAAAACCUUACCUACCCUUGACAUACUUGGAACUCUUUAGCAAUAAAGAGGUGCCUUCGGGAACCAAGAUACAGGUGUUGCAUGGCUGUCGUCAGCUCGUGUCGUGAGAUGUUGGGUUAAGUCCCGUAACGAGCGCAACCCCUAUCCUUAGUUGCCAGCACGUAAUGGUGGGGACUCUAGGGAGACUGCCGGUGAUAAAUCGGAGGAAGGUGGGGAUGAGGUCAAGUCAUCAUGGCCCUUACGGGUAGGGCUACACACGUGCUACAAUGGGCAGUACAAAGGGAUGCAAUACCGCGAGGUUGAGCAAAUCCCAAAAAGCUGCUCCCAGUCCGGAUUGGAGUCUGCAACUCGACUCCAUGAAGCAGGAAUCGCUAGUAAUCGC
rnacentral:rRNA from 1 species